rnacentral:rRNA from 1 species
GCCAUACCAUGCUGAAUAUACCGGUUCUUGUUAGAUCACCGAAGUCAAGCAUCAUUGGGCGCGGUCAGUACUUGUGUGGGUGACAACUUGGGAACACCGCGUGC